rnacentral:rRNA from 1 species
GGCUCACCAAGGGGACGAGGGGGUAGCCGGCCUGAGAGGGUGACCGGCCACACUGGGACUGAGACACGGCCCAGACUCGUACGGGAGGCAGCAGUGGGGAAUAUUGCACACUCCGCGCAAGCCUGAUGCAGCGACCCCGCGUGAGGGAUGACGCCCUUCGGGUGGUAAACCUCUUUCAGUAGGGAAGAAGCGAAAGUGACGGUACCUGCAGAAGAAGCGCCGGCUAACUACGUGCCAGCAGCCGCGGUAAUACGUAGGGCGCAAGCGUUAUCCGGAUUUAUUGGGCGUAAAGAGCUCGUAGGCGGUUUGUCGCGUCUGCCGUGAAAGUCCGGGGCUCAAGUCCGGAUCUGCGGUGGGUACGGGCGGACUAGAGUGAUGCUAGGAGGAGACUGGAAUUUCUGGUGUAGCGGUGAAAUGGGCAGAUAUCAGGAGGAACACCCGAUGGCGAAAGGCAGGUCUCUGGGCAUUAACUGACGCUCGAGGAGCGAAAGCAUGGGGAGCGAACAGGAUUAAGAUACCCUGGUAGUCCAUGCCGUAAACGUUGGGCACUAGGUGUGGGGGACAUUCCACGUUUUCCGCGCGGUAGCUAACGCAUUAUAUUGCCCCCGACCUCGGGAGUACAGCCCCAAGGCUAAAAACUCAAAGGAAUUGACGGGGGCCCCCACCAACCGGCGGAGCAUGGGGAUUAUUUUCUAUUGCACCCCGAAAAACCUUACCAAGGCUUGACAUGAACCGGUAAUACCUGGAAAACAAGUGCUCCCCCUCGUCCCCCUGGUUUUACAGGGGGGGCAGUGGGUUGUCCUUCACCUCCUUGUCCUGAGAUGUUGGGUUAAAGUCCCGCAACGAACGCAACCCCUCUUCUCUAUGUUGUCCAGCACAUGAUGGUGGGGACUCAUAGGAGACUGCCGGGGUCAACUCCGAGGAAGGGGGGGAAGAAAUCAAAUCAUCAUGGCUGCUGGGGGGUUGGGCUUCACGCAUGCUACAAUGGCCGGUACAAAAAGGUUGCCAUACUGUGAGGUGGGAGCUUAUCCCACAAAAGCCGGUCUCAGUUCGGAUUGGGGUCUGCAACUCGACC